CUACGGGUGGCACCAGUGGGGAAUAUUGGGCAAUGGGCGAAAGCCUGACCCAGCAACGCCGCGUGAAGGAUGAAGGCCCUCGGGUUGUAAACUUCUUUGAUGAGGGAAGAUGAUGACGGUACCUCAAAAACAAGCCACGGCUAACUACGUGCCAGCAGCCGCGGUAAUACGUAGGUGGCAAGCGUUAUCCGGAUUUACUGGGUGUAAAGGGCGUGUAGGCGGGAUGGCAAGUCAGAUGUGAAAUUCCGGGGCUUAACCUCGGCGCUGCAUCUGAAACUGCUAUUCUUGAGUGUCGGAGAGGAAAGUGGAAUUCCUAGUGUAGCGGUGAAAUGCGUAGAGAUUAGGAGGAACACCAGUGGCGAAGGCGGCUUUCUGGACGAUAACUGACGCUGAGGCGCGAAAGCGUGGGGAGCAAACAGGAUUAGAUACCCGGGUAGUC
rnacentral:rRNA from 1 species